rnacentral:rRNA from 1 species
GUGUCAGCCGCCGCGGUAAUACAGGGGGUGCAAACGUUGCUCGGAAUUAUUGGGCGUAAAGCGCGCGUAGGCGGCUACUUAUGUCGGAUGUGAAAGCCCUUGGCUCAACUGAGGAAGCGCACCCGAAACUGAGUAGCUGGAGUACGAAAGAGGGUCGCGGAAUUCCCGGUGUAGAGGUGAAAUUCGUAGAUAUCGGGAGGAACACCGGUGGCGAAGGCGGCGACCUGGGUCGAUACUGACGCUGAGGCGCGAAAGCGUGGGGAGCAAACAGGAUUAGAUACCCUCGUAGUCC